rnacentral:rRNA from 1 species
UACGGAGGGGGCUAGCGUUGUUCGGAAUUACUGGGCGUAAAGCGCACGUAGGCGGCUUUGUAAGUUAGAGGUGAAAGCCCGGGGCUCAACUCCGGAAUUGCCUUUAAGACUGCAUCGCUCGAAUUGUGGAGAGGUAAGUGGAAUUCCGAGUGUAGAGGUGAAAUUCGUAGAUAUUCGGAAGAACACCAGUGGCGAAGGCGACUUACUGGACACAUAUUGACGCUGAAGCGCGAAAGCCAGGGGAGCGAACGGG